rnacentral:rRNA from 1 species
GUCCACGCCCUAAACGAUGUCGACUAGCCGUUGGAGGAAUAAAUCCUUUAGUGGCGCAGCUAACGCGAUAAGUCGACCGCCUGGGGAGUACGGCCGCAAGGCUAAACUCAAAUGAAUUGACGGGGCCCGCACAAGCGGUGGAGCAUGUGGUUUAAUUCGACGCAACGCGAAGAACCUUACCAGGUCUUGACAUACAGAGAACUUUUCCAGAGAUGGAUUGGUGCCUUCGGGAACUCUGAUACCGGUGCUGCAUGGCUGUCGU